rnacentral:rRNA from 1 species
GGGGAAUCUUCCGCAAUGGGCGAAAGCCUGACGGAGCAAUACCGCGUGAGGGAGGAAGGCUCUUGGGUCGUAAACCUCUUUUCUCAGGGAAGAACACAAUGACGGUACCUGAGGAAUAAGCAUCGGCUAACUCCGUGCCAGCAGCCGCGGUAAUACGGAGGAUGCAAGCGUUAUCCGGAAUGAUUGGGCGUAAAGCGUCCGCAGGUGGCAAUGUAAGUCUGCUGUUAAAGAGUCUAGCUCAACUAGAUACAAGCAGUGGAAACUACAUAGCUAGAGUACGUUCGGGGCAGAGGGAAUUCCUGGUGUAGCGGUGAAAUGCGUAGAGAUCAGGAAGAACACCAGUGGCGAAGGCGCUCUGCUAGGCCGUAACUGACACUGAGGGACGAAAGCUAGGGGAGCGAAUGGGAUUAGAUACCCCAGUAGUCCUAGCCGUAAACGAUGGAUACUAGGCGUGGCUUGUAUCGACCCGAGCCGUGCCGUAGCUAACGCGUUAAGUAUCCCGCCUGGGGAGUACGCCGGCAACGGUGAAACUCAAAGGAAUUGACGGGGGCCCGCACAAGCGGUGGAGUAUGUGGUUUAAUUCGAUGCAACGCGAAGAACCUUACCAAGGCUUGACAUGUCGCGAAUCUUCUCGAAAGGGAAGAGUGCCUUCGGGAGCGCGAACACAGGUGGUGCAUGGCUGUCGUCAGCUCGUGUCGUGAGAUGUUGGGUUAAGUCCCGCAACGAGCGCAACCCUCGUUUUUAGUUGCCAGCAUUAAGUUGGGCACUCUAGAGAGACUGCCGGUGACAAACCGGAGGAAGGUGGGGAUGACGUCAAGUCAGCAUGCCCCUUACGCCUUGGGCUACACACGUACUACAAUGCUCCGGACAGAGGGCAGCAAGCAUGCGAAUGCAAGCAAAUCCCGUAAACCGGAGCUCAGUUCAGAUCGCAGGCUGCAACUCGCCUGCGUGAAGGAGGAAUCGCUAGUAAUUGCAGGUCAGCAUACUGCAGUGAAUUCGUUCCCGGGCCUUGUACACACCGCCCGUCACACCAUGGAAGCUGGUAGUGCCCGAAGUCAUUACUCCAACCUUUCGGGGAGGAGGAUGCCUAAGGCAGGACUGGUGACUGGGGUGAAGUCGUAACAAGGUAACCGUA